AGUGUACGGCCACAUUGGGACUGAGACACGGCCCAGACUCCUACGGGAGGCCACCAGUGGGGAAUUUUGCACAAUGGGGGAACCCUUGAUGCAGCGACGCCGCGGAGUGAAGAAGUUUUCGGUAUGUAAAACUCUUCCGCAGGGAAGAAAUGACGGUAUCAUAGGAGGAAGCCCCGGCUAAAUACGUGCCAGCAGCCGCGGU
rnacentral:rRNA from 1 species